GACGUAGGGCGCGAGCGUUGUCCGGAUUUAUUGGGCGUAAAGAGCUCGUAGGCGGCUCGUUGCGUCGGCUGUGAAAACCCGCAGCUCAACUGUGGGCUUGCAGCCGAUACGGGCGGGCUAGGAUUCGGUAGGGGAGACUGGAAUUCCCGGUGUAGAGGUGAAAUUCGUAGAUAUCGGGAGGAACACCAGUGGCGAAGGCGGCGAUCUGGGAAGAUACUGACGCUGAGGUGCGAAAGCGUGGGGAGCAAACAGG
rnacentral:rRNA from 1 species